rnacentral:rRNA from 1 species
UACGAAGGGGGCUAGCGUUGCUCGGAAUCACUGGGCGUAAAGCGCACGUAGGCGGAUCUUUAAGUCAGGGGUGAAAUCCCAAGGCUCAACCUUGGAACUGCCUUUGAUACUGGGGAUCUCGAGUCCGGAAGAGGUGAGUGGAACUGCGAGUGUAGAGGUGAAAUUCGUAGAUAUUCGCAAGAACACCAGUGGCGAAGGCGGCUCACUGGUCCGGUACUGACGCUGAGGUGCGAAAGCG